CCUACGGGAGGCAGCAGUGGGGGAUAUUGCACAAUGGGGGGAACCCUGAUGCAGCGACGCCGCGUGGGUGAAGGAGUGCUUCGGCAUGUAAAGCCCUAUCGGCAGGGAAGAAGGAAGACGGUACCUGACUAAGAAGCCUCGGCUAACUACGGGCCAGCAGCAGCGGUAAUACGGAGGGGGGGAGCGUUAUCCGGAUUCACUGGGCGGAAGGGGAGCGUAGACGGCCAGGCAAGCCAGGGGUGAAAGCCCCGGGCCCAACCCCGGGACUGCCCUUGGAACUGCAUGGCUGGAGUGCGGGAGGGGCAGGCGGAAUUCCUGGUGUAGCGGUGAAAUGCGUAGAUAUGAGGAGGAACACCGGCGGCGAAGGCGGCCUGCUGGACCGCGACUGACGUUGAGGCUCGAAAGCGUGGGGAGCGAACAGGAUUAGAUACCCCAGUAGUC
rnacentral:rRNA from 1 species